GUAGGUAUAGUUUAAACAAAACAUCAGACUGUGAACCUGAAAACAGAAGCCCAUCCCUUCUUACCUACC
rnacentral:tRNA from 1 species